GACGAACGCUGGCGGCGUGCUUAACACAUGCAAGUCGAACGAAGUGGCGAACGGGUGAGUAACGCGUAAUCAACCUGCCCUUCAGAGGGGGACAAGAGUUGGAAACGACUGCUAAUACCGCAUACUGAAGGAGGGGACUGCGUCUGAUGAGCUAGUUGGCGGGGUAAUGGGCCACGAGGGCGAUGAUCAGUAGCCGGUCUUGUAGGAUGAACGGCCACAUUGGGACUGAGAAACGGCCCAGACUCCUACGGGAGGCAGCAGGGGGGAAUCUUCCGCAAUGGACGAAAGUCUGACGGAGCAACGCCGCGUGAGUGAUGACGGCCUUCGGGUUGUAAAGCUCUGUUAAUCGGGACGCGGUACCGGAAUAGAAAGCCACGGCUAACUACGUGCCAGCAGCCGCGGUAAUAC
rnacentral:rRNA from 1 species